AGGAGAAAAAAACCCUAUUGGCUCAUUUAAUACAGUACUCCCUCUACACUUUAGGAAGAUUCCAUAAGUAUGGUUUCACAAUUGUAGACAGUGUUCUCUACCCAUUCAUUGAUCCUUUCAGCAAAUACAUGUGGCCUUAGCGUCCUGAAUUCUGACACUGGCCUAUGCAGUUCCCUAGAGUGGGUGCUGUGAAUAGAAGCAUCAGAGCCAUCAGAGGUUUCUGAUUUCUUGGCCUCACCUUCAGAACAGCUGAACAUCAGCUCUAGGAAGUGGGACCAAGCAACGUGUAUCUAUCUUCCCUGGCUUCCUGGGUGAUGCUUAUUCCCCGAGAUUGGCGACUCUGCCCCAGUGGAACAAGCAUGAGCAGGGCACAAGCACUCCUUGUCUCUGAGGAACUUCAAUUGCAUACUUCUUGCAACUUUGUGAUGAAAAAGCAGAGAUUUCUGGAUGCCCUCAAGGACUGGCUGAAAGGGAUUUCCAUGAUCAUGUGAUUCAAUACCAUUGCUUUGCAAAGGAGGAAGAGGAACUAAAGCUCAAAGAAGCAUCUCUGUGUAAGAAAGCAAUCUAGCUAGAUUUAAUGCUUAACUGAAUCUAGGGCUGGUAUUUUCUCCUCUAGAAUAGCAGUUCAUUAUUCUCUAUUAAUCUUGUUUCAAACUUGUUUGGUAUUUUUGUGUUCAUCUUUGGGCC
rnacentral:lncRNA from 1 species